AUCCAGACUCCUACGGGAGGCAGCAGUGAGGGAUAUUGGUCAAUGGGGGGAACCCUGAACCAGCAACGCCGCGUGAGGGAAGACGGUUUUCGGAUUGUAAACCUCUGUCCUCUGUGAAGAUAAUGACGGUAGCAGAGGAGGAAGCUCCGGCUAACUACGUGCCAGCAGCCGCGGUAAUACGUAGGAUCCGAGCAUUAUCCGGAGUGACUGGGUGUAAAGAGUUGCGUAGGUGGCAUAGUAAGUAGCUAGUGAAAUCUGGUGGCUCAACCAUUCAGACUAUUAGCUAAACUGCUAAGCUCGAGACCGUUAGGGGUAACUGGAAUUUCUAGUGUAGGAGUGAAAUCCGUAGAUAUUAGAAGGAACACCGAUAGCGUAGGCAGGUUACUGGGACGGUUCUGACACUAAGGCACGAAAGCGUAGGGAGCAAACGGGAUUAGAUACCCCGGUAA
rnacentral:rRNA from 1 species